UGAGUUUGAUUAUGGCUCAGGAUGAACGCUGGCGAGAUGCUUUACACAUGCAAGUCAUACGAGAGUUUUUAACUCAAGUGGCGGACGGGUGAGUAACACGUAAGAAUUUACCUUUAGGAGGGGGAUAACAAACCGAAAGGGUUGCUAAUACCCCAUAUGCUUCCGAGUGAAAUGGAUUUUUCCGCCUAGAGAGAAGCUUGCGCCUGAUUAGCUUGUUGGUAAGGUAAUGGCUUACCAAGGCGACGAUCAGUAUCUGGUUUGAGAGGAUGAUCAGACACACUGGAACUGAGACACGGUCCAGACUCCUACGGGAGGCAGCAGUGGGGAAUUUUCCGCAAUGGGCGAAAGCCUGACGGAGCAAUCUCGCGUGAGGGAUGACUGCCUAUGGGUUGUAAACCUCUUUUUUCAGGGAGGAAUAAAAUGACGUGUACCUGAAGAAUAAGCAUCGGCUAACUCCGUGCCAGCAGCCGCGGUAAGACGGAGGAUGCAAGUGUUAUCCGGAAUCACUGGGCGUAAAGCGUCUGUAGGUUGUUUAGUAAGUCAACUGUUAAAUCUUGAAGCUUAACUUCAAAAUCGCAGUCGAAACUACUAGACUAGAGUAUAGUAGGGGUAAAGGGAAUUUCCAGUGGAGCGGUGAAAUGCGU
rnacentral:rRNA from 1 species